CACGUAGGGGGCAAGCGUUGUCCGGAUUUAUUGGGCGUAAAGCGCGUGUAGGCGGUCCGGUAAGUCCGCUGUGAAAGUCGGGGGCUCAACCCUCGAAUGCCGGUGGAAACUGUCGGGCUAGAGUACGGAAGAGGCGAGUGGAAUUCCUGGUGUAGCGGUGAAAUGCGCAGAUAUCAGGAGGAACACCAAUUGCGAAGGCAGCUCGCUGGGACGUUACUGACGCUGAGACGCGAAAGCGUGGGGAGCAAACAGG
rnacentral:rRNA from 1 species